UUUUUCACUGGGUUGAAGCGGUACUACGGCGAGUGAGCGGCAAAAGCUCAAAUUUGAAAUCUGGUACCUUCGGUGCCCGAGUUGUAAUUUGGAGAGGGCAACUUUGGGGCCGUUCCUUGUCUAUGUUCCUUGGAACAGGACGUCAUAGAGGGUGAGAAUCCCGUGUGGCGAGGAGUGCGGUUCUUUGUAAAGUGCCUUCGAAGAGUCGAGUUGUUUGGGAAUGCAGCUCUAAGUGGGUGGUAAAUUCCAUCUAAAGCUAAAUAUUGGCGAGAGACCGAUAGCGAACAAGUACAGUGAUGGAAAGAUGAAAAGAACUUUGAAAAGAGAGUGAAAAAGUACGUGAAAUUGUUGAAAGGGAAGGGCAUUUGAUCAGACAUGGUGUUUUGUGCCCUCUGCUCCUUGUGGGUAGGGGAAUCUCGCAUUUCACUGGGCCAGCAUCAGUUUUGGUGGCAGGAUAAAUCCAUAGGAAUGUAGCUUGCCUCGGUAAGUAUUAUAGCCUGUGGGAAUACUGCCAGCUGGGACUGAGGACUGCGACGUAAGUCAAGGAUGCUGGCAUAAUGGUUAUAUGCCGCCCGUCUUGAACCACGGACCA
rnacentral:rRNA from 1 species